UACAGAGGUCUCAAGCGUUGUUCGGAUUCAUUGGGCGUAAAGGGUGCGUAGGUGGCGCCGUAGUCAGGUGUGAAAUCUCGGGGCUCAACCCCGAAACUGCACUUGAUACUGCGGUGCUGGAGUACUGGAGAGGAGAUUGGAAUUUACGGUGUAGCAGUGAAAUGCGUAGAUAUCGUAAGGAAGACCAGUGGCGAAGGCGAAUCUCUGGACAGUUACUGACACUGAGGCACGAAGGCCAGGGGAGCAAACGGG
rnacentral:rRNA from 1 species